GCAGGAUAAGAUUAUAAUUCAAAAUGAUAUUGACAAACUGGAGAAAUGGUCUGAAUUCAAUAGAAUGAAUUUCAGUAAGGACAAAUUCAAAGUAUUAUGCUUGGGAAGGAAGAAUCA